GCCAAAACCCUAGUCCUUUUAACAUCACAAACAUCCAAACAAAACAAAACAAAACAUUUGACACGGUUAGUAGAGGAGAUCGAAAGCCCAAUAAGCACAACAGAAAAAGUACCGCAAGGGAACGGUUAAAGCAAAGAAAAGCAAAGAAAAGCAAAGACACAACCUUGUACCUUUCGCAUCAUGGUCUAGCAAGCAAAACGCAAGCAAACAGACACUUGCCACCCCGAAACCUGGUGAGCUACUUCCUAGCAGUCAAUCGGACUAAACCACCCCCUCUGUAGCAAAAGAGGAAUGGAGACUAUCAAGUAGAGGUGAAAAGCCUAUCGAACCGGGUAAUAGCUGGUUGCCAAAAAAUGAACCUAAGUUCAAUCUUAACAGACAAUUCAGCUGUAGUAUGAAAGUUAAGAAAAAUCAUUAGGGGUACAGCUCUAAUGAAACGGGAUACAACCCAAAUUUGAGAGGAAACAAACCAACGACACCAGUAGGCCUUAAAGCAGCCCCCUAUAAAAACAGCGUCAAAGCAACAAAACAAAAAAUCCAACAAAAACCACACACCUCCAAAACAAACUAACGCAACUCUAUACUAAUAGAAGAUAUAAUGCUAGAACUAAUAAUAAGAACCAAUCUCAAGACAUGUUCGUCAGUCAGAAAUAGACACACUACUGAUAGUUAUCAGGCACGAGUAGGCAAACACAUUCUCAGACCUACAUCACACUGUGACCCCAACACAGGCAUGUCACAAAUGAAAGAUAAAAAGCUAUAAAAGGAACUCGGCAAUCAACGAUCUCAACUGUUUACCAAAAACAUAGCCUUUAGCAAAACAAGUAUUAAAGGUGAUGCCUGCCCAGUGAAGUUUUUUAACGGCCGCGGUACCCUAACCGUGCAAAGGUAGCAUAAUCACUUGUCCACUAAUUAUGGACUGGCAUGAAAGGCCACAUGAAGAUCAAACUGUCUCUUAUAGCCAAUCAAUGAAACUGAUCUUACAGUCCAAAAGCUGUAAUACGCCCAUAAGACGAGAAGACCCUGUGAAACUUCAAAAACUUCUAUACAACACCACUAUAGAAUAUUUUCAGUUGGGGCGACUUUGGAAAAAACAAAACUUCCAAACAAACAUGGUGCACCACCACAUACAGGCAAACACGCCUAUCAUACGAUCCAGUAAAUCUGACAAAUGAACCAAGCUACUCCAGGGAUAACAGCGCUAUCUUCUUCAAGAGCCCAUAUCAAAAAGAAGGCUUACGACCUCGAUGUUGGAUCAGGGCACCCAAGUGGCGCAGCCGCUACUAAAGGUUCGUUUGUUCAACGAUUAACAGC
rnacentral:rRNA from 1 species